CGUGUAGGCGGCCAGGUAGGUCCGUUGUGAAAACUCGAGGCUCAACCUCGAGACGUCGAUGGAAACCAUCUGGCUAGAGUCCGGAAGAGGAGAGUGGAAUUCCUGGUGUAGCGGUGAAAUGCGCAGAUAUCAGGAAGAACACCUAUGGCGAAGGCAGCUCUCUGGGACGGUACUGACGCUGAGACGCGAAAGCGUGGGGAGCGAACA
rnacentral:rRNA from 1 species